CCUACGGGAGGCUGCAGUGAGGAAUAUUGGUCAAUGGGCGAGAGCCUGAACCAGCCAAGUCGCGUGAAGGAUGACGGCCCUACGGGUUGUAAACUUCUUUUGUCAGGGAGCAAUUGAGUCCACGUGUGGUCUUAGCGAGGGUAACUGAAGAAAAGGCAUCGGCUAACUCGGUGCCAGCAGCCGCGGUAAUACGGAGGAUGCGAGCGUUAUCCGGAUUUAUGGGUUUAAAGGGGUGCGUAGGCGGAAUAUCAAGUCAGCGGUAAAAAUUCGGGGCUCAACCCCGUCGUGCCGUUGAAACUGAGGUUCUUGAGUGGGCGAGAAGUAUGCGGAAUGCGUGGUGUAGCGGUGAAAUGCAUAGAUAUCACGCAGAACUCCGAUUGCGAAGGCAGCAUACCGGCGCCCAACUGACGCUGAAGCACGAAAGCGUGGGUAUCGAACAGGAUUAGAUACCCUGGUAGUC
rnacentral:rRNA from 1 species